UACGGGGGGGGGCAAGCGUUAUCCGGGAUUCACUGGGUUUAAAGGGUGCGUAGGUGGGUCUGUAAGUCAGUGGUGAAAUCUCCGUGCUUAACAUGGAACUGCCAUUGAUACUAUAGGUCUUGAAUUUUCUGGAGGUCAGCGGAAUAUGUCAUGUAGCGGUGAAAUGCUUAGAUAUGACAUAGAACACCAAUUGCGAAGGCAGCUGGCUACAGGGAUAUUGACACUGAGGCACGAAAGCGUGGGGAUCAAACAGG
rnacentral:rRNA from 1 species